rnacentral:rRNA from 1 species
UUUUAGAGUUUGAUUCCUGGCUCAGGACCUUAUGUGAUGGAUCUGGCUGGUGCCGAAUUUUCGCCGUUUGUUGGCCCAUUUGCCGGUAAUCCUCAAAUUGACUCGCAAGCCAGUAAGUCGGUCGGACCGGUGGGGCUGCAAAGCGGCUUCAGUUCCUCAGCAAUGCCCCCCCGCCCCAUGCCCGUACCUCGGGCGAAGUUUGUGAGGCAGCU